AGGCGGUCGACCGGGCGCUCGUCGGAGAAGACCUCCAUCCGGUCCACGAGCGAGACGAUGCGGUCCGUUUCGUCGCAGAUCAGUCUC
rnacentral:sRNA from 1 species